rnacentral:rRNA from 1 species
UACAGAGGGUGCAAGCGUUGUUCGGAAUUAUUGGGCGUAAAGCGCGUGUAGGCGGCUUGGCAAGUCGGGUGUGAAAUCCCUCAGCUUAACUGAGGAAGUGCGCCCGAAACUGCUUUGCUUGAGCGCCGGAGAGGAUGGCGGAAUUCCCCAAGUAGAGGUGAAAUUCGUAGAUAUGGGGAGGAACACCGGUGGCGAAGGCGGCCAUCUGGACGGUAACUGACGCUGAGACGCGAAAGCGUGGGUAGCAAACAGG